UACGGAGGGUGCAAGCGUUAUCCGGAUUUACUGGGUUUAAAGGGUGCGUAGGCGGACAGGUAAGUCAGUGGUGAAAUCCCCCGAGCUCAACUUGGGAACUGCCGUUGAUACUAUCUGUCUUGAAUACCGUGGAGGUGAGCGGAAUAUGUCAUGUAGCGGUGAAAUGCUUAGAUAUGACAUAGAACACCGAUUGCGAAGGCAGCUCACUACGCGGUCAUUGACGCUGAGGCACGAAAGCGUGGGGAGCAAACGGG
rnacentral:rRNA from 1 species